rnacentral:rRNA from 1 species
UGCCAGCCGCCGCGGUAACACGGGGGGCGCAAGCGUUAUUCGGAAUUAUUGGGCGUAAAGGGCGCGCAGGCGGUCUUGUCCGUCAGGUGUGAAAGCUCGGGGCUCAACCCCGGAAUCGUCAUAGAAACUAUUGAACUUGAGGUAUGAAGGGGCAGAUGGAAUUCCAGAAGUAGGGGUAAAAUCCGUAGAUCUCUGGAGGAACACCAAACGCGAAGGCAUUCUGCUGGUCAUUACCUGACGCUGAGGGACGAAAGCGUGGGGAGCGAACGGGAUUAGAUA